rnacentral:tRNA from 1 species
GGGCCUGUAGCUCAGUGGUCAGAGCAGGCGACUCAUAAUCGCUUGGUCGCGGGUUCGAUCCCCGCCAGGCCCACCA